UUUGGAUGGUUUUUAGGUCAGGGCUCUGUGCCUACCAGCCAAGUUCUUCCACACCAAACUGGGAAAACCAAUUCUUUAUGGAGCUGGCUUUGUGUACGGGGACAUUAUCAUGUUGAAACAGGACAGGGC